rnacentral:rRNA from 1 species
AGAGUUUGAUCCUGGCUCAGGACUAACGCUGGCGGCGUGCCUAACACAUGCAAGUCGAACGAGGUAGCAAUACCUAGUGGCAGACGGGUGAGUAACACGUGGUCAACCUGCCUCCGUGUGGGGGAUAGCUAGCCGAAAGGUUAGCUAAUACCGCAUACGAUCGCCCUGGGGCAUCCCUAGGCGAUGAAAGGAGCAAUCCGCACGGAGAGGGGACUGCGUCCCAUUAGUUAGUUGGUAGGGUAACGGCCUACCAAGACUGCGAUGGGUAGCUGGCUUGAGAGAGUGACCAGCCACACUGGAACUGAGACACGGUCCAGACUCCUACGGGAGGCAGCAGUGAGGAAUUUUCCGCAAUGGGCGCAAGCCUGACGGAGCGACGUCGCGUGUGGGAAGAAGGCCUUCGGGUCGUAAACCACUGU